rnacentral:piRNA from 1 species
UGGUAUCUGUGAUUUGCGAAU